AAGGGGAGCAAUCCCUGAGUAAAGUGGCGACCGGGUGAGUAACACGUGACUAACCUACCCUCGAGUGUGGAAUAACAUCGGGAAACCGAUGCUAAUACCGCAUAACAUCGCAAGAUCAGAGGAGCAAUCCGCUUGAGGAGGGGGUCGCGGCUGAUUAGCUAGUUGGCGGGGUAACGGCCCACCAAGGCGAAGAUCGGUAGCCGGCCUGAGAGGGCGCACGGCCACACUGGAACUGAAACACGGUCCAGACUCCUACGGGAGGCAGCAGUGGGGAAUUUUGCGCAAUGGGGGAAACCCUGACGCAGCAACGCCGCGUGGAGGAUGAAGCCCCUUGGG
rnacentral:rRNA from 1 species